CCUACGGGGGGCUGCAGUGGGGAAUAUUGGACAAUGGGGGCAACCCUGAUCCAGCCAUGCCGCGUGUGUGAAGAAGGCCCUCGGGUUGUAAAGCACUUUCAGUGAGGAAGAACGCCUGGUGGUUAAUACCCAUCAGGAAAGACAUCACUCACAGAAGAAGCACCGGCUAACUCCGUGCCAGCAGCCGCGGUAAUACGGAGGGUGCGAGCGUUAAUCGGAAUUACUGGGCGUAAAGCGCGCGUAGGUGGCUUGAUAAGCCGGUUGUGAAAGCCCCGGGCUCAACCUGGGAACGGCAUCCGGAACUGUCAAGCUAGAGUGCAGGAGAGGAAGGUAGAAUUCCCGGUGUAGCGGUGAAAUGCGUAGAGAUCGGGAGGAAUACCAGUGGCGAAGGCGGCCUUCUGGACUGACACUGACACUGAGGUGCGAAAGCGUGGGUAGCAAACAGGAUUAGAUACCCGUGGUC
rnacentral:rRNA from 1 species